ACCCUCCCGUGGCGGGGAGGUGCGCGGUCGUGGAGGUGGCUCUCCCGGGCCUCGCCGACCCUGCCAUUGCCCCCAGCGUGGGAACCUCGCCUGCAGAGUCUGUGGCAGUGGGGGACUGCGUUCACGCUCUCCCCUU
rnacentral:snRNA from 1 species